UUACUGCUUAAGCAUGGUUAACUGUAUGUUGUUUUUCUGUUUGUAUUUUGACAAAAACCUUACUGCCCUCUUUUUUCUUCAUUUACAAAAUUUAUAUUUUCUUUAAAACAAUAUUGUAACUUCCUACUUGCUUUUUUACAGGUAAGGGGAAGAGAUGGAAAAACUUGUACUUUAUAUUGGAGGGAAAUGAUGCCCAUCUUAUUUAUUUUGAAAGUGAAAAACGAGCCACAAAACCUAAAGGUUUAAUAGACCUUAGUGUGUGUUCCAUCUAUGGAGUACAUGACAGUUUAUUUGGCAGGCCAAACUGUUUUCAAAUAGUAGUUCAGCACUUCAGCGAAGAGCAUUACAUCUUUUACUUUGCAGGAGAAACUCCAGAACAAACACAGGACUGGAUGAAGGCUCUGCAGAUGUUUUGCAGUUUAAGAAAAAACAGUCCAGGGAAAUCCAAUAAACGUCUACGUCAGGUGAAGCUAUAUAAAUAAUGGGGGGGGGGAGAUUGUCUCCUUGUUGUAAAAUGAUGCUGAUCUCAGAACUUUACUUUCAACAAUAGCAAAUCCUGCAUGUACUUUCUUUCUUGGAGUUAUGCAGUACCUUUGUUAAACCAACCGGAGUGAAUUCCUGUUUGUUAACAUAGAAUGGCUUGGGUUGGAAGGGACCUUAAAGAUCUAGUUCCAACCCCCUGCCACGGGCAGGGAUGCCACCCACUAGAUCAGAUUGCCCAGGGACUCAUCCAAGCUGGUCUUGAACACCUCCAAGGAUGGGGCAUCCACUACUUCUCUGGGCAACGUGGAGUGAAGAAUUUCCUCCUAACCUCUAAUCUAAAUCUCCCCUCUUUUAGUUUAAAGCCAUUCCCCC